rnacentral:rRNA from 1 species
CGANAUAUAAGCUGUUUCAUUUAAAAUUUAAUUAGAAUUUUAUUUUUUAGUUAAAAAGCUAAAAUAUAUUCAAAAGACGAGAAGACCCUAUAAAUCUUGAUUAUUUAAUAAUUUUUAGUUUAUUUUGAUUUUUUUUGUUAUAAAUUUAUUAAUUAAUUUUAUUGGGGUGAUAUUAAAAUUUAAAUAACUUUUAAUAAUUUUUAUCAUUUAUUUAUGAUUAAGUGAUCCAUUAUUAGUGAUUAAAAAAUUAAGUUACUUUAGGGAUAACAGCGUAAUUUUUUUGGAGAGUUCUUAUCGAUAAAAAAGUUUGCGACCUCGAUGUUGGAUUAAGAUUCAUAUUUAAAUGUAGAAGUUUAAAUAUAAAGUCUGUUCGACUUUUUAUUCUUACAUGAUCUGAGUUCAAACCGGUGUAAGCCAGGUUGGUUUCUAUCUUUGAUUUAGUAAAAUAUUUUAGUACGAAAGGAAUUAAUAUUUA